AGCGUAAUAUAUGUAACGUCUA
rnacentral:siRNA from 1 species